UGGGGAAUAUUGGACAAUGGGGGCAACCCUGAUCCAGCAAUUCUGCGUGCACGAUGAAGGUUUUCGGAUUGUAAAGUGCUUUCAGCAGGGAAGAAAAAAAUGACGGUACCUGCAGAAGAAGCGACGGCUAAAUACGUGCCAGCAGCCGCGGUAAUACGUAUGUCGCAAGCGUUAUCCGGAAUUAUUGGGCAUAAAGGGCAUCUAGGCGGCCAGAUAAGUCUGGGGUGAAAACUUGCGGCUCAACCGCAAGCCUGCCCUGGAAACUAUGUGGCUAGAGUACUGGAGAGGUGGACGGAACUGCACGAGUAGAGGUGAAAUUCGUAGAUAUGUGCAGGAAUGCCGAUGAUGAAGAUAGUUCACUGGACGGUAACUGACGCUGAAGUGCGAAAGCUAGGGGAGCAAACAGGAUUAGAUACCCUGGUAGUCCUAGCUGUAAACGAUGAUUACUGGGUGUGGGCAUGAAGAGUGUCCGUGCCGAAGCUAAUGCGAUAAGUAAUCCGCCUGGGGAGUACGGCCGCAAGGCUG
rnacentral:rRNA from 1 species